CGGAUGCUUAUUCUCAUUUGCUAAGGUAUUCAACAUAAUCAUAUAUAAACUAUUGAUAUUAUAAAUUAUUAAUUAACAGUAGCUUUUCUUAUAUACAGGCUAAGUGCUAUUUAUAUUUCUUAUUUGAAAACAUUCCGUUUAUUAUUUUUCUGCUAAUACACAGAAUCGCUGACUCAGAGAACUAAAACGAUGGUUUUCAUACCAUUAUCCAAGAGACGUAGGGAUUCCCAAGUUAUGUGUUAACUUCAACAUAAAAAGCGAAGUGCAUUUGAUUUUUAAGCUUUUAGCAAAUAUGUGUGCAGGAUGGGCAUCAAGGUACUAGAAAUUAUCUUAAAAUGACAAUACUAAACAUGUCAUGUGGUAGGGCCCAGAUGAAAAUCUUUUCUGCCUACCAAAAAAAUGACUUAAACAGGUUGAGAAAUCUGUUCUUUGAUUCUCUUCCAACACAGCCAAUAACCAUGUGGAACUUCUUUUCAGCUAUAAAAUAGCAGUAAUUUAUGUAACUCACAGAGGUUUUAAGAUGAUUAAAUAGCAUAACAAUAUAUACAACAUCCUGCUCAGGGCUUGGAGAAUGUGCUCCAUAUACACAAGUUUUCUUAUUUUUCUCAGAAUCGUAGUCACUCUCCAGAAGUUCACACCCUGACUUCAAGUUCAAGGUUAGUUCUGCCUUACUGAUGCUGUUCCAAUUUGCCUUUAGGUACAUUAAUUUCUUUUUUCAGCUAUAAUUUUCUCUUUUGCAGAUAAUGUCGACUUUAGCAUACCAGGAAUAUCUAGGUUCCAAUAUGGAAUUUACUCAGUGUUGGAAGUUCUACCAAUGUUUUCUUGUCUGUCAGUGUAUGUAGCCAUUAUCUUAGGCAUUUAUUUGUUUCUCUUCUGAUACUUACAAGCUAUGAAAUUAGAAAGCCAUGGCAUACAUGAUUAGAGCAUUUGAUUUUUCAUCCAUAAUUUGCUGUCAUUUUGAGAUUGUGAAUUAAAUGACUCCUUUAACUGUGUUUCUGUCUGAUGCCUUGCAGACACUGCUGACCCACGAACUCCGGAAGAAUGGCAUGAGGUCCCCGUUCCUCUGUCUCCUGCAACUGUGGGACUGACAGCCAACAGGACUCCACUUCCUACCAAGAUGACCCUUUCUUUGGCUGACUAGGUCAUAGGUCUGACAUUGGCAGAUAAGGCAAUUCUGGGGGAUAUGAGUUUUUUAAUUUGUUUCAAAUGCAGGAAUUUGAAUCAAAUUCUAUUGCCGAUUAAAAGGAAAUUUGUAGUUCGUGACUUAGUAGUUUGAUUUAGCAGUUUUGUAGUUCUUGAGUUAGAAAUGUAUGGUUCAUGGGUGUUUGUUCAAUCUGCUUUAGUUGAAACCAGUUUGGUAUUUUCACUCUUUG
rnacentral:lncRNA from 1 species